rnacentral:rRNA from 1 species
GGUCCCUAUCCGGCGCGGGCGUAGGAUAUUUGAGAGGAGCUGUCCUUAGUACGAGAGGACCGGGAUGGACGGACCGCUGGUGUAUCUGUUGGGUACCAAGCCCAUGGCAGAGUAGCCAAGUCUGGACGGGAUAAACGCUGAAGGCAUCUAAGCGUGAAGCCCCCCUCAAGAUGAGAUAUCCCAUAGCGUAAGCUAGUAAGACCCCUUGAAGACGACGAGGUAGAUAGGUUAGAGGUGGAAGUGCAGUAAUGUAUGGAGCUGACUAAUACUAAUCGGUCGAGGGCUUAACCA